rnacentral:rRNA from 1 species
UACGUAGGGUGCGAGCGUUUGUCCGGAAUUAUUGGGCGUAAAGGGCUCGUAGGCGGUUUGUCGCGUCGGGAGUGAAAUCCAUUGGCUUAACUGGUGGCUUGCUUUCGAUACGGGGCAGACUGGAGGUAUGCAGGGGAGAACGGAAUUCCUGGUGUAGCGGUGAAAUGCGCAGAUAUCAGGAAGAACACCCGUGGCGAAAGCGGCUCUCUGGAACGGUACUGACGCUGAGACGCGAAAAGCGUGGGGAGCAAACAGG